GGGAGUAUGUUGGGGAUAAUGGGGGAGUUACCUAUUUUCUAGGAGUAAUGGGUAGAGAGUUUAGUUUCUUAUCACCCUUUAUAAAAACACCACAUUUUUUACAAAGAGAGGGGAGACACAUUUUUAACAGAGGAGAAAAAACUACUGCUACUACUUCAACGUCAAUCCCAAAAACACUAAUUUUUCCUUGGCCAUAAGCUUGUGUCAGCACCAAUAUCUUCCUCCUCUCACCCAACAUCCUUCGUCAUUAAACAACCUCCUUCAACCAAAAUUCAUCUAAGGUCGAAAUCCUCACCAUCCUCUUCCAUCUAAAAAAUAAAAGUUGCAUAAAGCCAAUGGGGUUAUGGAAAUAAUUCAGUAUCAAUAUCUCAUAUUCUCUCAUCAUAGUAUUGAAGAAGAAUCAACAAAACCAGAAAAAAUACCCUACCAUUCAAUCCCAAACAGCCACGAACAACACAAGCAAAUUUUAUAAGCAAACCGAGUCAAAAAAAACAACCAGCCAAAUGAACACGCGGAAACAUAUAAUAGUUGUUAAGAUGCAAACUAUCAGAGGGGAAAGAUGUUGAACCAAGAAGGGAUUCAGCCAUGACCGGAGGAGGAGACCCCUUCUUCCUUUGCCACCGGAACCGCCAGAAUCGUGGUGGCGCUACAUCCAUCCAUCAAGCCACACCCGGUGCAGUCGCCACCUACAUGGGUGGUGCAAUAUCCAUCAUAGGGGGAGAGGGAUGAUGAAGAAGAAGUUAUUCAUUGAAGGUGGGGUUCCUUUUUCUCUCCACUGUUG
rnacentral:lncRNA from 1 species